rnacentral:rRNA from 1 species
UACGUAGGUGGCAAGCGUUAUCCGGAAUUAUUGGGCGUAAAGAGCGCGCAGGUGGUUGAUUAAGUCUGAUGUGAAAGCCCACGGCUUAACCGUGGAGGGUCAUUGGAAACUGGUCGACUUGAGUGCAGAAGAGGGAAGUGGAAUUCCAUUUGUAGCGGUGAAAUGCGUAGAGAUAUGGAGGAACACCAGUGGCGAAGGCGGCUUCCUGGUCUGUAACUGACACUGAGGCGCGAAAGCGUGGGGAGCAAACAGGAUUAGAUACCCGGGUA